CGGAAAUGCUUCAAAACAAAUGCAGGAAUUGGAAUGCUGCCUCGAACGACAUUACCCGAUCUGAAGAUGAGUUCAUUAGCCGUCAGUAGUUGUUGAAAUUUGGGGUCGGUCCGUUGAAAACGUUCGCCUACAAAAAAGAUCUCCAAGUUCGCCCAUCAUCUGAUCUUCAAUGGAAGUUUUGCCGAAUCCCAAAUCUCUGAGAUGUCUCAUGGUGAAUCGACGCUGUUCUUGCCAAAAUUGGCCAGUGACAAACAUAAUCCCUGGAGAUGGAUUCACCAAAUGAGUCAUCCCAUUGAGGUUAAGUCAAAAUUUACCAAGUUUUUCUCCAAACGCUCGAGCCAGUGCAACAGCGGAGUAGGGGCGACCGUUAAGAUCGUCAUUAAGUAGGGCCUCUUUGACGGCUUCGUGACUACAAACGGAAAUGACAGUCUGGCUGGGCCCCAUAAACAAUCCCACCACAGGUCCGUAGACUUCGCUCAUCUUCUUCAUCGCCUCGUGUGGAUAUUGUGGAUCCCACGAUGAAAAGAAAGUUUGAUUGACAAAAGUUGGACGUUUGGUUUUACCUGGCGGAAAGUUCCAUGGACGUUUUGUUGCCUUGAUGAUGAGACUGACGAGCAGAAUCGUUAGAAAAAUUUCGAAAAUCAUUCUGUCGAAUUAAAAGAGAUGAGAAUUGAUUUACUGUUCACUGUUGUCUCUUUGGUUGCAGAUAUACGACUAGAUUUCUAUGGUUCCAAUCGUCUCUCAUGGAUCUUGAAGUCAUGCCCCUCUCUUCCAAACCUAUAUACAGAUACUUGACCCUGUCGGAGCCCUCGAUCCCAUAAAAAUCGCUGCAGACUGUUUCCAUAGAUAGCUUAUGGCGAGGAAUACAGGAUGACACUGGUCGAAACGCAAGUCAUCAAUUGAAUUCAUCUGCUCCUUCUAAUUACAAGUUUGGCAGUCGACUUUUCGUGAUAGCAUUAUUUAAGAAAGAGAAAGAAGAUAAAAAUGCGGGCUUCACGAACGAGGAGUAACGACCGCUUUAAAUCCCUGGUAACCCAAAGUAAAUCCAAUCUUUGGGUUCAGAGACGGAAGAGGUUCGUUUUCAACGGGCUCAAAUCGAAACUUCUUGAUCAAAGCAGCUGUGAAGAGGAAAUAGUGCCAAACAACCGAGCAAUUGGAAAUACCAAGACCAAAUGGAUAAAAGUGAUCACUUUUAAUCACUUUGGUGCCGUUUUCGUUCAAAUGGCGUUCCGGACGGAACACUUCCGGAUCUUUCCAGUACUUUGAAUCUUGGAGAACAGCAUCGAGAUUUAGUAAAACAACACUUCCCUGAUGCCCUGGAUAUGUGUGUCUUUGACGGCACUAUGUGGUACGGCGAAUGGUGCAAUAGUGCUGCAACGUUGGGCUUCCAUCAGAACCGCUUCAGUAUACGGUCUCCGAGUUCAUCCGUCAUCUGAUCUUCAAUGGAUGUUUUGCCGAAUCCCAGGUCUCUGAGAUGUCUCAUAGCGAAUCGACGCUGUUCUUGCCAAAAUUGGCCCAUGACAAACAUAAGCCCUGGAGGUGGAUUUAUCAGAAUAACUUCUGCAUCAUGAAUGAUAGCAAUUAUUUAGAUGAAUCUUCGAAGUUUGAAUUGGAAUCGACGACGACUUUACUUUGGGAUGUGAUAUGCUUAAAACGGAAUCAAACUUGGGGCCCAUUUCUGUCAGUUCCACCUCCUGCACUGUCGCCUCCAGUUUCCCGUUGGUCAUGAAUUGGAAAUGUAAUUCUUCCGGUGAAAUAUCUUCCUGUUGAUACGUCAUCUCCAACGGAUAGCUGUUGAGAAAGUCGAAUUUUUGGGGCAGCCAUCCUUUAGUAAAGCAUUGCUCCGUCACGAAAGAGACUCCCAGAUGAACGAAGAGCGUGAACACCAUGAUGAGCGUGCGGAAAGGCAUCUGUUGGCGUCCGUCGUUGUAGAAUGGAAACUGAAUGACGACCGGUAAUCCUAGCAACUCUUCGCCACCUUGUUAAGGACGAGAUGGUGUCACGUUUUUCAAAAUGUUUGUCUGAUUAUUAGCUUUUAUUUGAUUACUGAGAAUUCGCAGGAUAAUGCCAAACAGGAAUGACGUGAUGCAUCCGUAUUUGUUGCAACUAGACUCGGCGUGAAUGACCAGCAGCAAUUGAGGGAA
rnacentral:lncRNA from 1 species